rnacentral:rRNA from 1 species
UGGUUCCUACGGGGGGCAGCAGUGAGGAAUAUUGGUCAAUGGGAGAGGUCCUGAACCAGCCAAGCCGCGUGAGGGAAGACGGCCCUAUGGGUUGUAAACCUCUUUUGUCGGAGAACAAAACCCGGGACGAGUCCCGGACUGCGUGUAUCCGAAGAAAAAGCAUCGGCUAACUCCGUGCCAGCAGCCGCGGUAAUACGGAGGAUGCGAGCGUUAUCCGGAUUUAUUGGGUUUAAAGGGUGCGCAGGCGGCGGGGUAAGUCAGCGGUAAAAUUUCGGGGCUCAACCCCGACGAGCCGUUGAAACUGG